CAGAAAAGCCAUUAGCAAAGUCUGCAAACUUUUUCUUUCAGGAAAAUCUAAAAGUAUGCCUCUGUCUGGUCUGGUUUUUAAGUAUUUCUUUUCCUUUUUUUUUUCUCUCUCUCUCUCUCUCUCUCUCUCUCUCUCUCUCUCUCUCUCUCUCUCUCUCUCUCUCUCUCUCUCUCUCCUGCUUCCUUUCCUUCCUUCCAAUUGCAAUACACACUUCCCUAUUGGUCAUUAUUGUAAGAGCACAGUCAUACAUAACCAAAAUCCCAGAAUAAAACCAUAAAUACCCUGAUGUGAAAGAUGACUCCAACAGUUCUUUCUCUGGAGGUGGAUGGCCCUCCCUAUCAUAAGUCUUUCAGGAUUGUCCCAGAUCAUUGCAUUGCUGAGAGUAGCCAUGUUUUCACAGAUAAUCAUCAUCCGAUAUUGCUGUUACUGUGUACAGUGUUCUCCCAGUUCUGCUUAUUUCACUCUGCAUCAGUUCCUGCAGAUCUUUCCAACUUUUUCUAAAAUCAUCCUGCUUAUUUUAUCAUUUCUUAUAGAACGAUAGUAUCCCAUCGCCAACAUGUCCCACAAUUUGUUCAGCCAUCCCCCAAUUGAUGAACAUCCCCUCAAUUUCUAAUUCUUUGCUACCACAAAAAGGGCAGCCAUAAAUAUUUUUGUAUAAGUAGGUUCUUUCUCCUUUUUUUUAUUAUCUCUGGGAUAUAAACCCAGUAGUAGCAUUACCAGAUCAAAGGGUAUACACAGUUUUAUGGCCCUUUGGGUAUAGUUCCAAGUUGAUCUCCAUAAUGGUUGGAUCAGUGGAACCAAGAUUUUCAAUGCAAUUAAUCCAAGUUCAGUGGCUUUUCAGUGUUGAUUUAAUUCACAUUUUUAAAUUUAUGCAUUUUAUUUUCUACAUUCUGCUGAUUUUUGUUCUUCAUCCUUUCAUACAAUUCUUUUCAUAUUCCUCCAAAUUCCUCAUAUUCACUAUUUUCUAUACUUCAAUAACACAAUGAGUCAUCAUUCUAUUUCUAGUUUGUUGCUACUACAGAAUGCUGUAUUUUGUUAUAGAUGUGACCUUUCUGUCUCACUUUGUUAGCAUUAUGUGCCUAAAAGUGGAUCCUUAAGUCAAAAUACACAAGUUAGUGAUUAUUCUGUUUGCAACGGGUAUGAACUUUCCUAGGGGGGACCGGUCCUUAAAAUAUAUGAAGAUAUUUCCUGCCUACUUUCAAUCCAAAGGACCAAGUGGAAACUAGGCAAACCUGUUUCCAAAGUCAUUCUGGGCUGAAUGACCAGUAAAUAGCUAAAUGGUACAGAAGAGAGAGCUUUGGGCCUGGAGUUAUGAAGACCCAAGUUCAAAUACCUCUGACAUUUACUAGUUGUGUAACCCUGGGAAACUUUAACCUGUUUUCCUCAGUUUCCUCUGCUUUAAAAUGAGGAUAAUAAAAGGUUAUUGUGAGAAUCA
rnacentral:lncRNA from 1 species